UGAAGUAGAGGCGCAAUGUACAUCAGUAACUCUCCGAGGCGGCGGCCGGAGAAGAGGGUAAAAGGGUGCGUUGCCGAAACGUUUAGCCGGCGGGCUAAAUUGGUUGGGUCUGCAUCGAACAGAUGCAGGACUGUCAUCGGGACUUCGCUCAGACCGAUGUUGUGCUACUG
rnacentral:ncRNA from 1 species